UUACAAGUUUGCCACUCACUUGAAAUGAAGUAUAAAAUCAACUUUAUAGCUUUAUUUCUCAUUAGGGUUUUCUUAAAGAAAUUGGGUGAAACACUUUCUCUCAUUUUUCUCUAAAGAGGCCGGCCACUUAGGGGAGGGAUAUCUAGCAAUCUCUUCUUCCCUAAGUCAUCCAUAUUAUCUUCACAAAAUACAUCCUUGGUGUGGAGACUUAGAGACAUCAAACUUUUGGUGUUUUGGAGAACAAAUCCUCAAAUCCUCAAAGUAUCAAAGGAGCACUAAAAGGAGGAAAAUCACAAGGAAUAUUCAAGGAGCUUGGAGGUGACUUGAAGGCCCUCCACUUGGGUGAAUCCCUUGUGUAAACAAGGAUGAGCUUCAAGGGUAAAGAAAUUCUAAAUCUUUACUUCUCUUUAAUGUUGUUAAAGAGUUUAUUGGUUCACCAUAUACUAGGCUUUGAAAGUCAUGGGUUUUAUGAAUUGUUUUUGAAUGCAUGUCUACUUUAAAGUGUUAAUAGCUUGCCUAUGUAUUCAAAUGUUCAUACUUGUUCUUAGCUAGGACAAUAUUUUUCCUUCAAGUGGUAUCAGAGCCUAGGCCUAGUUUAUGGGAAUCCUUUUGGGUUUUGUGAUUUUCAUGAUUUGUGAUUUAAAUGUUGUAAAUGUUACAAGCUAUAUUCUUGCUUUUGAAUAUAUAAAUUUUGCUAGAAAAUUUAGUAUCUCAAAUGUUGUAGAUGUAUUUCAUUUAAGCAUGAAUAUUGGAACUAAAAUUUGGUGCCAUGUAUUUUGGGAAAUUCGGCCAAAUCCUUAGGGUGAUUUUUUGGGUUCAUGUUUGUCUUGUUAAAAUGGUUUUAAGGUGACUUUUGGAACCCCUAAGUACCCUAGGAUAUUAGCCCUCUUUUGAGUGGUGAAAAAUUGAGUUUUGGUGAAUGAAAACAUUCAUGGAGCUAUUAUGAGUUUUCAUGGUGUUCUUCAAAUGUUCUUGAAGUUCUUGCCAAGAACAAAAAGGUUUGAAGUUUUGAUUCAAAAGUUUUAUGUUUUUCAUAAAGUGUUGGUUUAUUAUUUGAUGGGUGAUUGUUAUUGGUGAGAAGUGAUUAAAUGGCUUUAAUGUUUGUCAAAACUCAUAAAUGUUUUACAAAACAUUUUCUUACAAACCAUCAAUUUCACCUUUACCUCACCCACCAAAAUCAACUUGCAUAAAACCCUUUCACACUCCUUUACCACUCCAAAACCGGCCACCCCCUAGUGGGGGUACUUUUGGGGUCUUUUAUGCAAUUACAUAAAGUUUUGAUACUUUUGUGUAUUUGCACUUUGGCCCAAAAGUUUACGUUUUUACGUUAAGGCCCUAAAACGCUAAAGGACGAAUUGUUUUGAUCCUUUAAUGAUGUUUUUACAUUAAUAAAAUUUUGGGAUCUAGUUGUAAUUACAUGAAGUUGUGGACUAUUGUGUUUUUUACAAAGUGACCCCAAAAGUUUUUGUAUUUGCAUUAUGGCCCAAUUGUUGUGGUCAUAGUUUCCUUUUGGCCCAAAAGGAUGAGAACAAAAUUGUUUUUUCUCUUUAAUGAGAAUUGGAUUUUCAUUUCAUUUAGUUCCAUUUAAAUCAAUUCUAUGGAUCCAAAAACCAAUUGUUUAAGUUGCUUUCUUAGUUAAUGUGAUUAAUUGAGAAAAGGGUGAUUAUGAACCAAAGGCCUCGAUAAUUGAGCUAUGUGAUUGGCCGCUUUACAUUAUGAAUGUUUGGGUUUUAGUAGUGUAGAUUUGAAUGUAAU
rnacentral:lncRNA from 1 species